AUGGCUUCCAAGCAGACGGUGCAUAUGAAUCAAGGACAAGGGGAAACAAGCUAUGCUCGCAACUCCGGUAUUCAGAAUGCUCUGCAGAACAGGCUGAGCCUGAUAGAAGCAGCCAUCGUUGAGUUAUGCAGCAAGAAUAACACCUCAUUCCCUGAAAAAAUGCUGAUCGCGGACUUGGGCUGCUCCUCUGGACCAAACGCGCUAGCACUGGUAUCGAUUGCCGUCGAGGCCAUCCAUAGCCACUGCCUUCAGUUACAGCAGCCACCACCUGAAGUGUGCGUGCUCCUCAAUGACCUGCCUGACAAUGACUUCAACACUGUGGUGAAGAACCUGGUCAUGCUCCAUCAAAGCAACAAGCCUGCUGUUGUGACUGUUGGGAUCACGCCGGGGUCGUUUUAUGAGAGGCUCUUCACUAGUGGCUCCAUGCAUCUUUUAUGCUCGUCCAACAGCCUGAAUUGGCUCUCAAAGGUUCCUGAAGAUCUAAUGAGGAACUGGAUUCCGGCUUACGACGUUGAUGAGCAUGCUAGGAGUGAAAGGCUCCCUAUGGUCCUUGAGGCUUAUGCACAACAAUUCAGGAAAGACUACACUCUUUUCUUGGAGCUGAGAGCCAAAGAACUAGUCUCAGGAGGCCGGAUGGUUGUUUCCCUUGCAGGGAGGCGUUCUGAUGGCCGUGCUUCGAAAUUCUCUCACGUGUGGGAAAUCUUUGCUCAAAUUCUAAGUGUCAUGGCCUCGGAGGGCGUGAUUGACAAAGUGAAGUAUGAUUCGUUCUACGUGCCGGUGUAUGGACCUUCGGAUGAAGAGCUCCGGAAGAUCAUCCAAGCAGAGGGCUCCUUUUCGAUCACCGAGAUGCGGGUGCACGACUUUUCACGGGGUCGGGACAACGCUCUCAUCACCACAAGCUGGUACACGAACCAGAUGAGAGCCGCGUUUGAGCCGAUAGUCGUGCAUCAUUUCGGAGAUGUGAUGGAUGAAUUUGUGAGGACCGUGGAGCGGCGCUGGAGUGUGGAGGGAAGCUUGCAGGACGAGGUUGGCAGAUACCCGCGGGCUCAGCUUGUGGCGUCGCUCACGAAGAAGGCGUGCUGA
rnacentral:rRNA from 1 species